UAGCAAUCUCGUCCAGCAGCUGGCCCAGGAAGCUAAGUGUCAUGUGGAAGUACAUGGAGAAGAGGCCUGGAACGAGAAACAAAGAAGCAAGACCCUCAACUUUUAGACACAGCUACGCAACUAAAGACUACAUUUCCCAGCCUUCCUUGCAACUCACUGAUCCCCUGUGACCUGGUCUGACCAAUGGAAUAGGAAUGCAAAUAAAUCUAUUACUUUUUUUUCUUUAA